GAGUAUGGCCAUACCACCCUGAACAAGCCCGAUCUUGUCUGAUCUCGGAAGCUAAGCAGGGUCAGCCUGGUUAGUGCUUGGAUGGGAGGAAUAGAUCUUGAAUUUC
rnacentral:rRNA from 1 species